AAAUAAAAUAGCUUCAAAAUAAUAAUCCAAUUCUCACUACUGGCUGUCUAGUCCAACCUCACUAAAGCAGGUUCAGGUCUAAACAUUAUAGGAAUGUACAUCACAGAAGAACUGACCAAAAACACAAAAGCUGUGAGCUAACAAAGAAGCAUGCCACUGCUCCUGCGCCCUGCACAGCUUCAGUUGCGCGUUCCUUUUGGCUUUCCUAGAUCCUACCUGAGCAGACUGGAGAGAGGAUGGGAGGAGGCGCCGUGGCCGCCGCUGUUGCCGCUUCCACUGGUCCCAGA